GAAAAAUAACCUAACCUCCACCCUCCAUCUAUAAUCCCUCUUCUCCAAAAGAAUUUCUCUCUAAAAAUUCCUCCAUCAAAAGAUCUUGAAGCCCACACUUCCAAUCCUUUUUUUUAUUCCAAGAGAAUAACAAGGUAGCCUUAGAGGUGGUGUUCUUGUUCGUUGAGAAGCUCAGGAUUGUUUGUGACCUUUAGAGGAGAAAAUGUGAAGAAGGAAGAAUCUACAAGGGUGAUCACAGGCUUCUUCAAGAAUUCGAUUCCCUUCACAAAUAGCUUGGAGUAAGAGAAUUAGGGGAUGCAUUGGUAGCGGAUGCGUGCACACUUUGUGGAUGCAUACAAGUUCUCUCAAAUCAAACUCAAGUUUCCUGGUAAGUCCAAGGUCGGACGCAUGGACUCUAGAAUGCUUCUAACGAAGACCUUGUUUUUGGAUCUAAUACAGAUGUUUCCUAAUUAACUUGAGAAAUGUUGGUUAUUUACACUGAGCUAAUAGCACAUAUGCAAAAAGAAUCAGAAGUUCAUAGGGAAAAAGGGGUUUAUGAAUGAAUGGUUUUAAAUGUAAGUGGUAUGUGUUGAGUCCAAGCAGGAUUAGAAAGCAUAAUGAAGAUGGGAUGAAGAUGAUACAGAUGCUUUUCUACAAUCUAAAUGUAUGAGCUAUGCCUUAGAAUUUUAUUCUUAAAUUUAUAUUUAGUUCAACAUCUCUAAAUGCGAAAGCCACAUAUAAUCUUAUCUCUAGGGUAUAUGCGUUGGCUACAAAGAACAGGCAAAAGAUGCAAGCAACUUUAUCUCUAAACCUAUUUCGCACCAUGACUUAAUGUGUUCUAUAAUUAAAUUUAUCUCUCAAGUGAUUUAACUACUUAAUCGCUUUAAUCAACUGAUUAGGAUGAUGAUAUGAAUCAAGAAAUUCGAACUUGAAGAUGAUAUGAAUCAAAGUCAUUAAGUUUCCAUGUAAACUUAGUUGUUUUCAAUUAAUUUCCAAAAAUUUAUGUUUAAUUUAAGUAUUGAAAUUAUGGACAUUUUUUUUAAAGAUAGUUGUUGGAAAUAUGGAGGUUACUUUUAAUGAAGAUGCAUUGAAGAUGAAGACUAGUCAAAGAUGGUGGAUGAAAUUGGAGGUUGCCAUUAAUAGAAUUGCAUUGAAUAUGGUGGAUGAAAGAUGGAGUUUGGGAAGAUGACUACUUUAAUGUUUUAUGUUGACUUUUGCUUCUUUACAUUAAUUGUAUUAGAAUCUCUACAAGGCUAUAUAAAGUCUCUUAUCCUUUCAAUUGUAAUAGAUUAAGAAUUUGGAUGAAUGAUACUAGAAAAUUCUAAAAUGUAGAAUUUUGUUUCUAGUGUGUUCUUGUGAUAGAAUGCAUGAAUAUUUGGAACAUUCAAGUGAGAAUUGAUCUAACUUGCUUGUGGAGUGCUUUGAAGAUCAAGGAUUGAUGGGAGUUUCUAAUUUUGUUUGAUCAUUGGUUCAUUAGAUCAACUAAGUCAUCUGAAUUUUAGCCUGUCUUAGGGGUUGAUUUCAAGUUGGUUUUGAGGUUGUUGGGGUUGAAUUCUUUGAGUCUUGUUGGUUAACAUGGUUCUUAGAUCCGAUGCCUAAGGGUCUCGUAUCAUUUGAUAUCAGAGUUUUAGCUCUAGAUCAGGUAUAUUUUUCCGUUGUUGUAAUGUUUUUCUUAUUCUUUGAUUUCCAAUUUUAUGUUUUUCUAGUGAUCUCAUCACAUUCUGUCCGUUAUAUAAAAACUCAAAAAAAAUGUUAGUUCUAUUUGUAAUUUUACAUUUUUAUCUUCUUCAAUCUCUUAAAUCUGAGUUUGAUUUACAAGAUUGCUUUUGUCAAUGUCCUCCAAUUUGGUUUCCUUCAAUGUCAAAUGUUCUUGUUUUGAAAAUCUGAAAAAAAAAAAAAAAAAAAAAAAAACAAAACAAAAAUGUGUAAUCUGAGAGGUUCCUUGUUGAAUUUUGUUGUUCUUCGAUUCAAGUACAAGAAAGAUGACUAUCACAUGCUGCAUUCCAAAUAGAUCCUUUAGAUUCAAUGACGAAUCUUCUUGAAGAAUGGGGGAAUGAUACGAACCAAGAAAUUACAUUUCCAUCAAAUGAACUUGAAGAUGAUCGAAUCAUGACCAUUAAGCUUCCUUGAGUUCAAGCACUUUGAAGACUUCUAAGUUCAUAUAUUUUUGCUAUAAUUCAAGUUUGAAUUGUUAUUUAUGCCUAGUCAAAGAUGAUGGAUGUCAUUAAUGAAGUAGCAUUAAAGGUAGUGGUAGUAAGAUGGUGGUUGGAAGAUGAACUUCUUUAAUGUUUUAUUUUGACUUUUUGGUAUUUAUAUUAAAUAGGUUAGAAUCUCUACAAGGCUAUAUAAUGCCUUUUAUCCUUCCAUUUAUAAUAGAUUAAGGAUUUAGAUUAAUGAUACUAGAAAAUUCUAAAAUGUAGAAUUUUGUUUUUUGUGUGUUCUUGUGAUAGAAUACAUGAAUAUUUAGAGUUGUUGGGGUUGA